UACGGGGGGGGGCAAGCGUUGUUCGGAAUUACUGGGCGUAAAGGGCUCGUAGGUGGCCAACUAAGUCGGACGUGAAAUCCCUCGGCUUAACCGGGGAACUGCAUCCGAUACUGGAUGGCUUGAGUUCGGGAGAGGGAUGCGGAAUUCCAGGUGUAGCGGUGAAAUGCGUAGAUAUCUGGAGGAACACCGGUGGCGAAGGCGGCAUCCUGGACCGACACUGACGCUGAGGAGCGAAAGCCAGG
rnacentral:rRNA from 1 species